AAGUCGUAACAAGGUUUCCGUAGGUGAACCUGCGGAAGGAUCAUUAUUGAAUAUUCCUGAUGGGUUGUAGCUGGCUCUUCGGGGCAUGUGCACGCCUGUCUUGACUUUAUUCAUCCACCUGUGCACCUUUUGUAGUCUUGGGGGUUGAGAGCAGUCAAUAAUCGGAUGACCAUUUGGUCACUCCGGGUGUGAGGAAUGCUGAGUGCGAAAGCAUACAGCUCUUCUCAAAGUGACUUGUAAUCCUCUCCUUCAAGUACUAUGUAUUCAUAUACCCAUAGUAUGUUGUAGAAUGUGAUCAAUGGGCCUAAGUGCCUAUAACAAUCAUAUACAACUUUCAGCAACGGAUCUCUUGGCUCUC
rnacentral:misc_RNA from 1 species